rnacentral:rRNA from 1 species
UACGGGGGGAGCAAGCGUUGUUCGGAUUUACUGGGCGUAAAGGGCUCGUAGGCGGCCAACUAAGUCAGACGUGAAAUCCCUCGGCUUAACCGGGGAACUGCGUCUGAUACUGGAUGGCUUGAGUUUGGGAGAGGGAUGCGGAAUUCCAGGUGUAGCGGUGAAAUGCGUAGAUAUCUGGAGGAACACCGGUGGCGAAGGCGGCAUCCUGGACCAACACUGACGCUGAGUGAGCGAAAGCCAGGGGAGCAAACGGG